UGCAGAUCUGUACUUCAAAUACAUUUCAUCAUGGGAGCCAUUCUCUACAGAACUAUUUUUAAACACUUACAUCUUCUAAAGUGGGUUGUAUUUUUUUGUGUUUUGCUCAAUGUUUAGAUCAUUUUCAGAGGACUGCAUGUGAAGAUAAUUUAGGUGUCGAGGUUCAUAUUUAAUGUUUGCAGCCCUACAGUCUCGAUCAUUUCCAUUUUCAUCUUUUACCAAGCUAGGUAAGAAAAUUGCUUGAAAACUGCCUGGCUGGCCUGCCAUUGUUAGCAUUUUAAAAAAGGUGGUUCCAGCUAAAAACAGUCAAUUCAAAUUCUUAAAUUAAUAAUAAAAUACAUCCGAAAUACCUUUAUCAAGUUGUUUUAGGCAGUCUUCAGGGGCAGCAUGCCAUCUUACAUGACUGCCAUGGCACUGAGUGCCAUUGAAUACCAACUUGAUGCCAUGGCAUCCAAUGCCCUGGCUCCUUAUGAAAGCCCGAAGGGCAUCCUCUUGUCCACCUCGGUUUAUAAACUGAAGCAUCUCUCCAACUUUGAGAGCAAAUGCUUCACCACAAGAGCACUUGUACAAAAAAAAGAGAAGACAGGUUUUUUUGCAUUAAUUGUUCUUUUGCAGCUGCUUAAGCUUGCAAACAAAAAUUGUGAUCAUCUCCAUAUUUCCACUUCAACAUGGUAUAUUGAGGUAAUCGAUCUAGACAACGCAUGUAUUUGAUCACACUACCUUAUCUGGGUUGGUGGCGGCUUGGACAGCUACCUCUUGAUUUAAAAUAUAUAUAAAAUAAUUAUUUUAGGUUGAAUAAACAGAAGAAGGUGCAAACUUUUCUCGUAGGAGGUCUUUAAUUCAGUGGACGUUUCGCCCAUUUGGGCUUCUUCAACACUAAGAAUAUCAAUACUCGGAAUAAAAUUUACAAAAAUGAAAAAGCCUUAGAUAAGUUACAAAACAAUAACUUACAAAGAGAACAAAGAAAUAAAAUUUUUACAUAAGAUUACAUAAGAAUUACGUAAUAAUAAAAAUAGCAAAACAUCUGCUAAAAAGCAAAUAAAACCAAAUAAAAUACAGCGGCAAGAUGGUGUUAAUUGUAGCGAAUCCUAUUCCUGGAAUUAAACUCGCACCUUUUGUUGAGUCCAUGAGGUGUGAGGGUGCAUAAUUGAGCACACCAAAAGGCCUCUCUUGUGAGCAAACGGUCAUCAAGACUAUUACUAUUGACACUAAGAUUACACAACUGUUCAAUUAAAAAUUCUAAAUCUGCCAGAGCAUGAGGCUCUUUGUUAAAAUGAAUAGCAACUUCACAAGUAUGUUUUUUGGUGAUCAUAGAAGACUUGUGGCUGCGGAAACAAAUUUUAAAUUCAUUACUUGUGGAACCAACAUAUUGCACAUUGCAUUUCUUGCACGUAACCAAGUAGAUGACAUUUUUAGAUUUACAAUUAAGAAUCUGUGUAAUAGGAUACAUCCUGCUAGUACUAGUGCUGGUAAAGCAAUUGGAUUCCUUUAAAUAAUUGCGACAUAGAUCACAUUUGGCUGUGCAUUUAAGCAACCCCACUGAUUAUCAGGCGCGUGAUGUUGCUCAUGAGGCUUACUGCUCAAGAUUUCUUUGAUGUUUUUAGUUCUACGAAAAGCAGGAAUGAUGGACCCUACCAGAAAAAUUUUUCCAAGAGAUGGUGAAUCAUAAAUAAGGUGCUUGUAUUUCCUAAUAAUUUUACCAAUGCUGGGUAAGCGAGGGUUGAAAUCAAGCACAAGUGGAAAAAUUUUGUUUGGACUCCUUAGGCUGAAGAUGAAGCAAUGUUUGUCUAGGAAUAGACUGGGCUUUCUCAAACUGUUGUGAAACCAAAUUCAGGUUAUAACCCUGGUUAUAUAGAUAACCCUUAUACUCAGAAGAGCAUUCACUAAAUGCCUCAUCAGUAGAACAAUUCCUUUGGAUCCUGGUAGCUACUCCAUGGGGAAUGACCCUGGUAACAUGGGCAGGGCGUGCGCUAUUCUGUAGCAAGUAAAUAUGGUUAUCUGUAGGUUUGGAGUAGAUAUCAGUCUGGAUGAAACCAUCCACCAGAUUGAGAGUAAGAUCUAGU